rnacentral:rRNA from 1 species
UACAUAGGGUGCAAGCGUUGUCCGGAAUUAUUGGGCGUAAAGAGCUCGUAGGUCGUUUGCCGCGUCGAUUGUGAAAAUCUGAGGCUCAACCUCAGACCUGCAGUCGAUACGGGCAAACUAGAGUGUGGUAGGGGAGACUGGAAUUCCUGGUGUAGCGGUGGAAUGCGCAGAUAUCAGGAGGAACACCAAUGGCGAAGGCAGGUCUCUGGGCCAUAACUGACACUGAGGAGCGAAAGCGCGGGGAGCGAACAGGAUUAGAUACCCUGGUAGUCCGCGCCGUAAACGAUGGGCACUAGCUGUGAGAGCCUUCCACGGUUCUCGCGACGCAGCAAACGCAUUAAGUGCCCCGCCUGGGGAGUACGAUCGCAAGAUUAAAACUCAAAGGAAUUGACGGGGCCCCGCACAAGCAGCGGAGCAUGCGGCUUAAUUCGACGCAACGCGAAGAACCUUACCAAGGCUUGACAUAUAGCGAAAAGUGGCAGAGAUGUCAUGUCCGCAAGGGCGCUAUACAGGUGGUGCAUGGUUGUCGUCAGCUCGUGUCGUGAGAUGUUGGGUUAAGUCCCGCAACGAGCGCAACCCUCGUUCUGUGUUACCAGCAUUCAGUUGGGGACUCACAGGAGACUGCCGGGGUCAACUCGGAGGAAGGUGGGGAUGACGUCAAAUCAUCAUGCCCCUUAUGUCUUGGGCUGCACGCAUGCUACAAUGGCCGGUACAAAGUGCUGCGAAAUCGUAAGAUUUAGCGAAUCACACAAAGCCGGUCUCAGUUCGGAUUGAGGUCUGCAACUCGACCUCAUGAAGUCGGAGUUGCUAGUAAUCGUAGAUCAGCAACGCUACGGUGAAUACGUUCCCGGGGCU